rnacentral:rRNA from 1 species
GAUGAACGCUAGCGGCAGGCUUAAUACAUGCAAGUCGUGGGGCGGCGCAGGUAGCAAUACUGGGCGGCGACUGGCAAACGGGUGCGGAACACGUACACAACCUUCCUACAAGUGGGGAAUAGCCCAGAGAAAUUUGGAUUAAUACCCCGUAACAUAACGAUGUGGCAUCACAUUGUUAUUAUAGCUUCGGCGCUUGUUGAUGGGUGUGCGGCUGAUUAGAUAGUUGGCGGGGUAACGGCCCACCAAGUCUACGAUCAGUAGCUGAUGUGAGAGCAUGAUCAGCCACACGGGCACUGAGACACGGGCCCGACUCCUACGGGAGGCAGCAGUAAGGAAUAUUGGUCAAUGGACGCAAGUCUGAACCAGCCAUGGCGCGUGAAGGAUUAAGGUCCUCUGGAUUGUAAACUUCUUUUAUAUGGGACGAAAAAAGGGCAUUCUUGCUCACUUGACGGUACCAUAUGAAUAAGCACCGGCUAACUCCGUGCCAGCAGCCGCAGUAAUACGGAGGGUGCAAGCGUUAUCCGGAUUCACUGGGUUUAAAGGGUGCGUAGGCGGGCAGUUAAGUCAGUGGUGAAAUCCUAGAGCUUAACUCUAGAACUGCCAUUGAUACUAUCUGUCUUGAAUAUUGUGGAGGUAAGCGGAAUAUGUCAUGUAGCGGUGAAAUGCUUAGAUAUGACAUAGAACACCUAUUGCGGAGGCAGCUUACUACGCAUAUAUUGACGCUGAGGCACGAAAGCGUGGGG